GUGGGGAAUAUUGGUCAAUGGGGGAAACCCUGAACCAGCAACGCCGCGUGAAGGAAGAAGGCUUUCGGGUUGUAAACUUCUUUGACAGGGGACGAAAGCAAUGACGGUACCCUGAAAACAAGUCACGGCUAACUACGUGCCAGCAGCCGCGGUAAUACGUAGGUGGCGAGCGUUGUCCGGAUUUACUGGGUGUAAAGGGCGUGUAGGCGGGGCGGUAAGUCAGAUGUGAAAUGUAGGGGCUCAACCCCUGAAUUGCAUUUGAAACUAUCGUUCUUGAGUGAUGGAGAGGCAGGCGGAAUUCCGUGUGUAGCGGUGAAAUGCGUAGAUAUACGGAGGAACACCAGUGGCGAAGGCGGCCUGCUGGACAUUAACUGACGCUGAGGCGCGAAAGCGUGGGGAGCAAACAGGAUUAGAAACCCCUGUAGUCC
rnacentral:rRNA from 1 species